CCGAGUUAUCAAGACUCACUAAACCAUUGUGAACCUACCUUAAACCGUUGCUUCGGCGGCUGGAACCAGACGGCCCUGUCACACCGGCCCCCUGCGCCCGCCAGAGGAUACCCAACUCUUGACUAUUAAGUGUCUCUCUGAGUAGUCGUUAACAAUGCAAUAAUUCA
rnacentral:misc_RNA from 1 species